rfam:Arabis alpina cultivar Pajares Aa.chr3_contig_3895, whole genome shotgun sequence.
GCAUGCUUAGCUCAGAGGUUAGAGCACCACAAAAUCAAAAUUGUGGUAGAAAUCGGUUCGAAUCCGAUAGCUGCU